CUGCAGCUGGCUCAUUCUCACUCUCAUCUUCACCCGACCACCAUCAGUUUCAAACAGAACAUCUGUUUUCCGCCAUCUUCCUCUCCACCUCUCGUCUUCUUCUGCCACAAUGAAUCUGUGUCCAUGCCAGAUAGUUGCUUAAGUAUCCCCGCCGAUACCUGGAAGUUACCAAAGCAGUGUUGGAAAAAGUGGAGCACACACCUGGAAAAAGAGAAAUAACACCCUGUCUGUGUGUACUUUCACCACCAGAGAGAGCUAUUUGUCCAGGUUUUCUGUCCACUGAUCUCUUUCAGUGAGUAGAAUGUGACGUUGAUUUGCAGUGAGAGACUUAUGGUGAGCUCCACUUUCUUAUUUUGGUACGAAUGGACAUUAU
ensembl:lncRNA